rnacentral:rRNA from 1 species
UGCAUUGUCUCAGUACUUGCUUUAACAAGGCGAAACCGCGAAUGGCUCAUUAAAUCAGUUAUGGUUCACUAGAUCGUAUGAAUUACAUGGAUAACUGUGGUAAUUCUAGAGCUAAUACAUGCAUCCAGCUCGGCUGCCUUGUGCAGCGAGCGCAGUUAUUAGAACAAAACCAAUCCGGCUUCUGUCGGUAAAUUGGUGACUCUGAAUAACCGAAGCGGAGCGCUAAGGUCUCGUACCGGCGCCAGAUCUUUCAAGUGUCUGACUUAUCAGCUUGUUGCGAGGUUAUGUUCCUCGCAUGGCUGUUACGGGUGACGGGGAAUCAGGGUCCGAUUCCGGAGAGGGAGCCUGAGAAACGGCUACCACAUCCAAGGAAGGCAGCAGGCGCGCAAAUUACCCACUCCCGGCACGGGGAGGUAGUGACGAAAAAUAACGAUGCGAGAGCUUUUAGCUUUUCGUAAUCGGAAUGGGUACACUUUAAAUCCUUUAACGAGGAUCUAUUGGAGGGCAAGUCUGGUGCCAGCAGCCGCGGUAAUUCCAGCUCCAAUAGCGUAUAUUAAAGUUGCUGCGGUUAAAAAGCUCGUAGUUGGAUCCGGGCAGUCGACGCGCGGUGCGCUUUACGGCGUUACUGCGUGCUCGUCGCCACUAUCCGGCCUUGUCUUUCAUGUUCUUUACUGAGCGUGAUCGGCGACCGGGACGUUUACUUUGAAAAAAUUAGAGUGCUUAAAGCAGGCAUAUGGCCUUGCAUAAUGGUGCAUGGAAUAAUGGAAUAGGACCUCGGUUCUAUUUUGUUGGUUUUCGGAGCUCGAGGUAAUGAUUAAGAGGAACAGACGGGGACAUUCGUAUUGCGGCGUUAGAGGUGAAAUUCUUGGAUCGUCGCAAGACGAACU